AGCCUUCUGAAAGGAAGAUUAAUACAAGAUGGCAUCAUGAGUCCGCAUGUUCACAUGAUUAAAGGUAUUCCGGUAGACGAUGGGGAUGCGUUCCAUUAGAUAGUAGGCGGGGUAACGGCCCACCUAGUCUUCGAUGGAUAGGGGUUCUGAGAGGAAGGUCCCCCACAUUGGAACUGAGACACGGUCCAAACUCCUACGGGAGGCAGCAUG
rnacentral:rRNA from 1 species